GGUCUCGUACUUUAAAAAAAAGGUCUGCUUUGCAUGUAGAAAAUAAGUGUUUAUCUUUGAGGCCA
rnacentral:tRNA from 1 species